ACGGAUUUCCCAUUUAGCAAAAAACUUUGCUUAGCGCUCGGGAUAAAGCUUUGAUUCAGUAGCGGAAGGGCACCCCUUAUUCUAUUAUAAUUUCUUUCAUUGGGACUCCAGGUUAUCUAGUGUCUAUCUUGUCCACGAUCCGGGUAUUCAAUCCCACCGCUGAGAAAACGGUUCCAGAUGAAACGCACAAAAGAGAUAAUCAAUCAAGAUGCGAGCAAGAACCAUGGAACUUUGUCUCAGCUUUCUGUAGAGAUUGAAAAUGUGUAUAGUGAACUCUUCCCCGGGGGGCUCUCCUCCCUAUCCCGAAAAAGGGCUGCCUGAAAAGCAAAAAAGGCCUACUGAUUAGUAUUAGUAACUUCACCGCCUCAUCUCACGUUUCUGGUUUGAGGGACUGAACCCCUAACGAGCAUCGAGAAGCUGUCGCAAGCAAUCAAUCAAAGUAGAUACCCUUCCUUCUUUCUUCCCUGGAUUGACUCGUUUUUUUUCUCUCCUAGCAGACGGAAGACGCAACAACAACAAUUAGCAAUCCGCGUCGUCCCUAUAUGGUAUGGAUAAAGCCAGCUCUGCUCCUGUAAUCCAAUACCUGAGGUAAGUACCUAACUAAGCCAGUAUGGCAUCUAUCCCGACUAAUCCCCUGCGGCCCGGGCCAGGCGCUCCAACCCGACCCGAAAGCGAUAAGUGCGCGGAGGAACCCAGCGGAGCGGAGACUCGAACUUGGGACCUUAAGGAUCACCGGUGAGAGGCGU
rnacentral:lncRNA from 1 species